UACGUAGGGUGCAAGCGUUAAUCGAAAUUACUGGGCGUAAAGCGUGCGCAGGCAGUCGUGCAAGACAGAUGUGAAAUCCCCGGGCUUAACCUGGGAAUGGCAUUUGUGACUGCACGGCUAGAGUGUGUCAGAGGGGGGUAGAAUUCCACGUGUAGCAGUGAAAUGCGUAGAGAUGUGGAGGAAUACCGAUGGCGAAGGCAGCCCCCUGGGAUAACACUGACGCUCAGGCACGAAAGCGUGGGGAGCAAACAGG
rnacentral:rRNA from 1 species